UUUCAGGAGUGAAGGCAUUCUACAUGGCAGAUUUCUUUGUAGCAGAUUCGUGGGUUCCACUUGAGUAUCAUGCUAUCGACAACUUACCAUGUUAUGUUGAAUGAGCACAGCUUACCAUGUUCUAGCUCUUUGCUUUUGGAUAAUGUUUGUGUAUAAACCUUUUCGAAGGGCUUCGUGUCCAGAAAUGUGAUGCCCUGGUACUGACUAGCUCCUGUAUGAAAAACGCUGCAAAAUAUGGGAAAUUUUCAUUGUAAUGAUGAUGAUUAUGAUGAUUUAUUUGCUAUUGCACCUGGUUAUGGCAAUUGGUUUGGGUGUUUA